rnacentral:rRNA from 1 species
AACGAACGCUGGCGGCAGGCUUAACACAUGCAAGUCGAACGCCCCUUCGGGGGAGUGGCAGACGGGUGAGUAACGCGUGGGAAUCUACCCAGCUCUACGGAAUAACUGAGGGAAACUUCAGCUAAUACCGUAUACGUCCUUCGGAGAAAGAUUUAUCGGAGUUGGAUGAGCCCGCGUUGGAUUAGCUAGUUGGUGGGGUAAGUGGCCUACCAAGGCGACGAUCCAUAGCUGGUCUGAGAGGAUGAUCAGCCACACUGGGACUGAGACACGGCCCAGACUCCUACGGGAGGCAGCAGUGGGAAUAUUGGACAAUGGGCGCAAGCCUGAUCCAGCCAUGCCGCGUGAGUGAUGAAGGCCCUAGGGUUGUAAAGCUCUUUCAACGGUGAAGAUAAUGACGGUAACCGUAGAAGAAGCCCCGGCUAACUUCGUG